UUUCCUUCUGGUCUAUGGCUCAGAUCAACUGUACUUUCUGAUCUUAUCAGUAUAAUAUAUGAUAGGGCUCCUCUGAAGGUGCUUGAUAUUAAAUGAAUUUUUGGUAAGUGGAGCUGGGUCAGGGCCUUGCCUCUUCCACUCCUGCAUUGACCUGGUAUUGCAGGACCAGUGCACCACCC
ensembl:snRNA U2 U2 spliceosomal RNA